GGGAAGGGGACCCCUUGCGGGGCAACCGAAACAUCCGCUUUCUCGGGAGUCGGGCGCUUCCGCUCCAUCUUGGCUCAGGGUGGGAAAUAAAAGCUGAAACAAGGAAGAUCAUGUGGCUCAAAACUGGGAGCAAUCAACAGAAUCUGAGAUGAUCUAUUGAGAAGACAGAGAAGCAGGGACGAGGAGACGGCUUGCAAACUUUAAUACUGUAAGGAAAGCAUUUGUUGUGAUGUGUUAAUACUAGACUGGCUCGAACAAAAGGAGGACUGAAGCUAAUUCAGAGUAUGAAUGCCUACAAGCAGAAUUCUGUCGUUAUCAAUCUGCUCCUUUCGACAAAAUCCUCAGACUUUAUUCCCACAAUGGAACGAAAAUGGAGCCAAAGGCAAUCUGACACAGGUGGCCCUUUGUUCCACAAAAUAGAUAAAUGCGCUUCAGGCCAGAGAGUUUUAACUCCUGCAAUGUUGCCAGUGUCAGAUAAAUGUAUGCCUGCUGAGUCUUUUUUUCUUUCAAAUCAGCAUGCAACAAUGCAUACAGCAAAGCAGGGAGAAGUCACAACACAGAGAGGAGGAAGGAAGCGGCCAAAGCUGGAUUCUAAAAAAGGCCUGAAAAAAUCCUCUGAUCCAUCUCUGUCCCAAGUGCAGUCUGCUGCACUAGUUCAAGUAUUUUUUCUUCCAUUGUUUAAGUUCUUUUUUUACAGAAAACUAUGCAGACCCCAUCUAAAGCACCAUCUAAAUGCAUAUGGCCUCCUCGCCUACAGAGAAGUUACACACAACUUUCAUGACAUGCCAUUUUUUCACAAAUCCCAAAGACAACAAAUGUAAGGAAAUGCAAGGACUCUAAAUUCUCCUGACUGCAUUAACAAUGCAUUUUAUUUGCACAAGAGCAUAUUGGAAAACUGUAUUUCUACAGCAGAGAGCAGUUGGAUUUGUCCUGAAGAAGUCAUGAUUAUCCAAGCACUCUGUUGACUGGUUGGCAUGGAAAAUGAGAAGAUGCAUAUUUAGAAGACAAUAAGUGGAGACGAGAAGAAUGAGAACAGUUAUAAACAACCGCAAGUGAUGCUCUCCCUCCAGAGUGCAAGGAACCCUGCACGUAGAUAGCAUACUCUUAGUUUGGUAUCCAAUCUCUCUUACAUAUGCUCCUUUCACUUAAACUAGAGGGGAAAACUGUUCAUGGAUGGCCUGUAUCAAUAUGUCAUUUGAUGCACAACAUAUUUUUUGGAAAAAAGAGGCGCACUUUCAGAAUAG